GACGAACGCUGGCGGCGUGCUUAACACAUGCAAGUCGAACGGUGAACCUCUUCGGAGGGGAUCAGUGGCGAACGGGUGAGUAACACGUGGGCAACCUGCCCCCGGCUCUGGGAUAACUCCAAGAAAUUGGGGCUAAUACCGGAUGUUCACCGCUUCCCGCAUGGGUGGUGGUGGAAAGGGUUUCCGGCUGGGGAUGGGCCCGCGGCCUAUCAGCUUGUUGGUGGGGUAGUGGCCUACCAAGGCGACGACGGGUAGCCGGCCUGAGAGGGUGACCGGCCACACUGGGACUGAGACACGGCCCAGACUCCUACGGGAGGCAGCAGUGGGGAAUAUUGCGCAAUGGGCGGAAGCCUGACGCAGCGACGCCGCGUGGGGGAUGACGGCCUUCGGGUUGUAACCUCUUUCAGCAGGGACGAAGCGCAAGUGACGGUACCUGCAGAAGAAGCACCGGCCAACUACGUG
rnacentral:rRNA from 1 species